AGCGAACGCUGGCGGCAGGCUUAACACAUGCAAGUCGAACGGGCACUUCGGUGCUAGUGGCAGACGGGUGAGUAACGCGUGGGAACGUGCCUUUCGGUUCGGAAUAAUCCAGGGAAACUUGGACUAAUACCGGAUACGCCCUCCGGGGGAAAGAUUUAUCGCCGAAAGAUCGGCCCGCGUCUGAUUAGCUAGUUGGUGAGGUAAAGGCUCACCAAGGCGACGAUCAGUAGCUGGUCUGAGAGGAUGAUCAGCCACAUUGGGACUGAGACACGGCCCAAACUCCUACGGGAGGCAGCAGUGGGGAAUAUUGGACAAUGGGCGCAAGCCUGAUCCAGCCAUGCCGCGUGAGUGAUGAAGGCCUUAGGGUUGUAAAGCUCUUUUGUCCGGGAAGAUAAUGACUGUACCGGAAGAAUAAGCCCCGGCUAACUUCGUGCCAGCAGCCGCAGUAAAAC
rnacentral:rRNA from 1 species